CACUAACAUGUUGGAACAAGGAUGAGAAGAUGGAGGAAAGACGGUAGCUGGGGGUGUCGUGCCAGCAGGCAGUCCUCGGUUGCCCGGGAAACAGAUGGUGGAUGAAGGGCGCGCAUACAAAAGAGCACAAACCUGUGGCAGCAGCUGGGGAGCGGCUCACUGACUAAUUCAUGCAGGCGCAGCCUCUCACAGCCAUAUACGUCUCUCUUGUCUUUGUUUCAGUACUUGUGCACAAUAUUUGCUUUUCCAACGUGGACUGUGCACGCAGCUGUUCUUGACACUCCCAUUUGGGCUUGCAGCAGCUCUGCAGCACACACCGUGUAGAGGCGAGCAUUUUUUUUUUUUACUGCAGAGAACAACACGGUUUGUCGUUUUGUUAGCAGCAUAGAAGUAGGAUAUCGUGUGAGGUCUGGUACAAUUCUCUCGACGUUGUGGAACGUGUGCAAUCUGGAGAUGACUGCAGGGCCAUUGAUGUGACAACAAUUAACGAUGCUGGGAGGAUCUGAAGGGGAGCCAACGCCUGCAGACAGGUCAUGUGCACAAUACAACGUAUCAUAUUGGUUGCUAUAGAGCAGGGGUCUCCAAAAGGCUACCUGAAUUUGAAAAGCUCACCAAAGGGUUAAAUAAUCUGCUUCAACUUUUAGUUUUUUUGUAACUGUUCAAUUCAGAUUUCAUGCUUCUAUUUAAUGACAAAAAAUGUGGAGCUCUGCUUUGUCUAUACAUAAAUAAAACACAAAUAUCCCAUUGAGAAUAAAGUCGGAGACCCUUGAGAUUGAUAAACAGGCUAAAUUGGGCCCAAAGUAGAAUUUUAUUUUGAGCUCCCGCCAUUACCAAACAUGUUCACUCUUUUUUAUUUAUGUGAACAUUUUCGUACUUUUUUAAAUCAAACUUGAAUUUAAUUUGAUCCAUGUUUUGUACUAACACGAAUUGGAGGGAAAUACAUUGUGUGUGUGUGUGUGUUCUUGUAUUUCUACCCUUCUUGAGACAUCAACAAGGAAAAGUACCUUCCAUAUGAGGACUGGUGAACAAUUUAGGACAUAAAUCAUGGUCCCAAUACGGAAAACCAUUGCAUCUAAUAGAGAAUGUCUCAUUUGCACCUCUGGUGGGGAGAUCUAUCAAAAUGAGGGUGGUCCCAAAAAGGAAAUAUUUUUUCAAAUGGACUGUGUGUCGGUUUUAAAAGUGUUCCCCCUCUGGUCGACAUAUGAAAUAACAAAUGUGUGUAAGAAAUUGAAAUGCGCCCCCUUUGGCAAAAAUUAAUUAAUAAUAAUAAAUAAUAAAUAAAUAUGUAUAUAGACACAUACUGUAAUAACUUGAAAUAAAUAAUGAAGAUUAAAAACCAAUUAGAAACAACAAAUUCAAAACAUUUUUUUUUACUAAAAGCUUCCUUUUUUGUAUUUGCAUAGUUUGUAUAUAUUAUUAAUGUUGUAAAUACACUUCUUUAUAUAUCUAGAAAGGGUGGUCCUCAAGAGGUAGGCAUUUUUCGGAGGUCUCAAGAAGGUAACAAAUACAAGAAUGUGUGUGGGUACCAGAUAACAAAUUUAAGAUAAUUAAAACAUCUUCCUGACACAGCAUUGGCCGGGAUUCGAACGGAGUGCAGUUAGUUAAUCACAAGCCAAGCUCUAACACUGUGCACCCCCAGAGAGAGUGUAAAUAUUUGGGUAAACUUGCCACAAUAUUUCUAUCAGUGACGUAGCAGGAAGGGGCUAGAAAUAUGUUUGUGGUAAUAUUUUAUAUAUUCAUUUAUUAAUAUUUUAUAUUCACACACAACGAUUGAUCGUGGUGCCCUAAAAAUAAAUAUUACAAGUACAUGUUUGCUUCAGUGUCUUAUACUGUGACUUAUACUGUCCAGUGUGUGCAAUAUUGUUUAGUCCAUCUUUAGUACAGCUUUGUUUUGUAUGUCUUUGUCCCGGUAUACUGACGGACACCAGGAUCUCACUUUGGCCUCCAUUGUACUCCUGUGUUGAUGGCAUCGCUUGAAUGGCCUCCUCUGUGCUUCUUCAUGGACGGAGCUGCCAUAUCUGCUGAGCUGGACCCUCAGAGGACGGAUCAACCUUUCUUGUGUUUAACUGAAAUGUGGAUUUGAGAGACCUGGUGUCACAUGACCGUAUUAUAUCCUGUCUUUCAAGCACACACUGUAUGUUCACACAGUCUUACUUACACUGGUUUGAUCAGUGCACCACUUUUUGCCUUACGAAACAGGCACUGAGGCACUUUUCUGCUAUGUGCACUGACCUCCCCCUUGUUGCCAUGGUUACUUGCUCUCUUCACCCAGGGACUUCUAAAUUCACCUACUUAGUUAUGUCAUCAGAAGCACACAUCUCGCACUUUUAAGAUUUGUCAUUAAUUUAGACUCAUCUAUCUUGAUCAUACUGUACUAGUGUGUUAUGCGCUUGCUCGUGGUGUAGUCGCUGUGUGAGGGGCAUGGAGUGUAUGCAUGUAUUCGGCGUCUUUGCGUGCUUAUGUGCAUGUGUAUUCUGAUACAACGUACAAGCUCCUUCAGCUGCCGAAUGCGCCAGACUCUGGAAAAAUUUUUUUUACAAAUUAUUAUUUGACAUUUGUUUUGGUCCAGCAACUAUGAACGACUACUACUAAUAACGCUAAAGCAGGGCUAUUCAACUGGCAGCCCGGGGGCCAAAUCUGGCCCGGGAAUGACACCAUACCUGCCCCCGAGCUCAGUUCAAAACUUGUUACACAAACACUUUUGGUAGUAAAUUCCUAGAAAGUGCCCAUGUUGUAUAGAGGAACUUGGACCACUGUAAACACAUUGACAGAUCUCUGCAUUGACACUUUAACAACUUGCGAUUUACAUAACUGAGGUGUUCCUCAAGGCAUGGCUUUAAGUCCUAUCCUUUUUGGCAGUUACAUUUUUUUCCCGGAAUAUGAUUUAUGUAAUUAAGAGUCGCUUUAGCCUGUUCAUUUCAGAUGUAGUCAGUAGUCAUUUGUUCAACUUCUUUAGGUACACUAGUGGUGUUCUUCAAGGUUCCAUUUUAGGUCCUCUUUUUUUCAUAAUUUGCACUAUUCAACUGGUAGCCCGCGAGUUCAGUUAAAAAAAACUUGUGAGAGAUUCUUAAAAAGUGCUGUCAUAGAGAUGAUCUUUGACUAGUUUUUUUUUGCCAAAGUGCCUUUAACUCUGACAAAAUAAAUAGAUCAAAAUAAAAUGUCUACUAUAGUGGAUGCUGGUUCUUAGGAACACACACAAGUGAAGGACACAGUCCGGCACCCAGGUCCUUAGCUCUCUGGAAAUGCGGUCACCAAAACAAAUUAAGUUGAAUAUCCCUGCCCUAAAUAUAAUUAAGGAUCAUCGUGAAAGAUGACACGCAUGGCACACAUAUUUUCUGGUCAUACUUUACCAGCAUCAACUGAUUCAUUAAAAAAAUCCAGCAAAUGCUAAUAAUUGUACAAAUAGAUUUGUACCCAGGUCUGGAUUAUACUAACAUUAAUUUCUGCUAACAUUCUGAUAAUCACUAACCUCUCUGAUCGCUUAUGGCUGACUAACUCACUCACUGACUAACCCUCUGCUUUAUGGCCGCAGUUGCACAAAACUGUACACUCUUCUCUGGUGAUCUUGCAACCCCUCUUCUACAAAGCGACUAUUCUUAAACACCAACAUGAGUUAUCAAGAAGGGUUUCAAGAUCUGGGGAGGACAAUCGAACGAGCCGGAAGCCAAAAAGUGACGUAUCAAGCUGGCUUGACCACAUAAAUCCACACAGAUAUUGGAGAAAAAAAACUACAGUUCUCACACACUAGAGGCUAAAUUUAGAGGAACAGAUUUGUGUCGCUUUGUGUGCACAGUGUGUUCAAGCUUUGCAGGUACUGAAUUGUUGCCAAGUGCAACAUUACUAACUAUGGCUUUGAUACUAACAGUCAAAUACUAACAUCUCUGCUAUGCAAAACUCUUCAUAUAUUGCAACCAAAGUGUUGAUCUUCUGACUAAAGCAUGGCCUGUGUUAACUUUUCCAAAAUCAUACAGAGGACUAAUCAUUGGUGCAAUGAACAAGCCACUAACAUUCUUGGAAAUAUUCCAAAUACUAACCAAAAAGUAUUCAAUGACUAACACACUAAUGAACUAACAAAUAAACUAACAUGACUAACUGGAAUCCAUAGCAUCCAGAUUUAGACGGGUUGCAUGACGCAUUGAGUGUGCUAACAAGUUUGAAUGCACUUUUGUUGAAUGUGUGUGGGUGUGCACAUACGGAAGACACUUCCAUGCUGUGCGUCGCCCGGAAGGAUAUUUUGAGUGUUCUAUUUAAGAAUAGGAUGCAAAAUGUUGUCACGUACAAUAACACAAUUAUUUGUUCCAGCUCAGAAUCAUAAAUGGCUGAAAUGUCAGACUAAAAGAGUUGUUAUCUUAAAACAACAAAAGAAGCAAUUAUAUUCUGGAAUAAAAACAUCCGCAGACGUGUGUUCUUGGAGAUCUGCAUCACUUUAGCAAUGGGCCAUCAAAGAAUAAAAAUGCAUUUUUGUCGAUAGGCAUCAUAACAAAAACAAUAACACUGAAAAAAAUGUAUAUAUGUUGAUAGUCCAACUCGAAUGACUGGUAUACAGUCAUUGUGAGUCAUUAUUUAUCAGUAGAAAAAACCUGCAUUUAGAUUAGAUAAUAAAGAGUCAUAUCUUGGAAUAUGGAAUUUGUUAUAUGAAUUUGUUUUAACUAUUAAAAUUCCGGAAUAAUGACUAGAUGCAAUGCAAGUGUAAGCCACUGUAACUAUUAUUGUUUUUAUCAAUAAUGGCUGUGAUGGUGAUAGAAACUAUAAGCGAUGAUGAUAUUAAUCAUACAUAUUGUUCCCGUUAUUGUAAUUAUUUUGUUUUGUUUUUCAAUCACAAUUGUUGAUGUUAUUAUUGUUGAUGCUAUUAUGAUUGAAGUUAGUUAAGUAUUGCAUUUGUAUGUUCAUCUUAAUUGCUUUGUACAUUUCUAAGUAAUGUAGAGUUGGGAUUGGAGUUGGCUGUUAUUAGAUGUGAUUUUUUUGUAAAAAAAAAUAAAUGGGGAAAAAAAUGUUCCGCAUUAACUCUUUGUUGCAUAUUCAUACCACAGAUGAACACAGACAUCAUUACAGUAUAUGUAUCUACUGCAAAUCUGGAUAGAAACAUUUUAAAAUUAUAUUUAAUGCUCGGAUUUUAACUGGAUUUUCUCUGCAUCAUAUUUGCAUACACAGUAUAUUUGAUUUCCUUUAAAGGGGUCAAAUUGUGAUUUUAAUCUAUAUUUAAAACACUUCCUUGUGCUGUAGAUACCAUGUAAUAGUAUCGACAGCAAAAUGUCAAAAUGUUGCAUACGGUUUGCUGUACAAAUCUAUCUUCAAGCCACUUUUUGGCUACCCUUUUAAGAGUUAUUAUAUGCAAAUGAACCCUGCCUGGCAGCCAUUUUUGUAGUUUCAGUGAUAAGCUUCCUGCUUGGUACUGAAAAAUUAGUUAUGCUAAAUAAUUAGAAUUAUAUACUACUUUUUGGCAACAGAAAUGGCAACAGCCCAGAAUUUUAACAUCCAACUGUACAUGUACAAGCCGGAAUCUAAAGAAAUUUUAAAACAAAAAAAACGCAUCUAUCGAUGGUUCGUGUUAGGUCUGUUGCCUUAUUAACCUAAUUCUGAGAGAAUGUUACUUUACGUCAGGGGUGUCAAACUCAUUUUAGAUCGGGGGCCACAUAGAGAAAAAUCUACUCCGAAGUGGGCCGGACUGGUAAAAUCAUGGCACGAUAACUUAAAAAUAAAGACAACUUCAGAUUGUUUAGUUUUUUUUUGAAAAUAGAGCAAUCACAUUCUGAAAAUGUACAAAUAAUGCUUGAUUUUUUUUUACUGUUUUUUUUUUUUUACACUUACAUGUUGCGGUUAAUAGUAUUCUACCUUUAUUUGUCGUUAUUUAUACCUUCUGAAUAAAUUAUGUGAUAAUGUUCAUUAGUUAACUCAUUGGUGUUAAUUUUCAAUCUAUCAAGAUAAAAAAAGAAAUCAAAAUCAAAUUACAGGACGUUAUUUAUGUAGUUAGCUCAUUUUCCUCGACUGGUGCACUAACGUGUUUUUUUUUUGUUUUUUUUUACAUAUGUAGCAUAAUCUACAAAGAUACAAAGAAUUGCUAUUGCAACAUCUAGUGGACACAUUUAGAACAGCAGUUUCUUUCAUUCAAAAAUUUUGGCUCAUUUUUAUACUUAGCGAACUCCUGCCGCGGGCUGUAUAAAACCUGUUCGGCCGUAUGUUUGACACCCCUGCUUUACGUAGCCUGUCUGUUUCUGUUAGUAGACAUGCAGUUUGGUAUAUAUUUAAGCUCAAAACUAGUAUUUUAGCAAAAUUAUUUAAAAAACAAACACAUAAUCAAAGUUUUGUACACAGUUCUUUCACCAAAACAAUCAUGUGUGUGAUGAUCCGCUGCCCGGUUCAAGUUUUGUUUAAAUGUAGGAUUCCCUUGUUUUUGUUUCGGCACCCCUGUUUGUGUUCCUCAUUGCCAUAUGUGCUGAUUAUGCUCACCUGCCUCUGGUUAGUGGUCGGGACACUCACCUGCUCCCGGUCACUAAUCAGAGAGCUAUUUAUUCCUGCCUUUCGCCACAUUCGGUCUGGCUGUUUUGUUUGCUUCAUGCAACAAGUUACGUUGAUUUCUUGCUCCUUGUUCCUGUGCUAGUUUUUGCCUCAGCUUCCCGUGCAAUCUGCACGCUUUUCUGUUUAUUUGUAUUCUUGCAUCAUUUAAUAAAAUAAAUAAUCUUUCUUACCUGCACCCUGCUUCCGGAGGACCAUCUGCAUCUUGGGGAAACAAUCCGCGCAUUACCAUGCAACCCAACCGUAACAAUGUGUUCUCUGAUUUAUGCUUAUUAUGUGUUUUUGUCCUGAGAAUAUAGUUGUGGUGUUCACUUGUGCUUUGUAAUAAACACUUUCUUUCUUUC